rnacentral:lncRNA from 1 species
GCGUACAGAGGGUGUGUUCACAGAGACGUGUGUGAAGGAAACCAGGCAGAGGAGGAGCAGCACGUGGCCACAGAAGGGACCCAGGAAGGGUGGCAACCGGAGCCCAGAAGCAGCAGAGUUCGCAGUGGCCACAUCUAAAGCAAGCCACCGCGACGUGUGGCUCGCCUGUGCUCACAGUCCUUCACGAGACUCCUCCACUUUGCUUGAGGCAGAAAAGAACGAGACACGGAGCUGCCAACAAAGAGCCAGAGAGAGAAAAUGGUGCCGAGCUCAGCGCCCUCGGCCACAGCUGAGUUGGAAAAGGACCUGGCCUGGCCGCUGCUGGAAACAGACCCAC